AUUGAACGCUGGCGGCAGGCCUAACACAUGCAAGUCGAACGAGUGGCGGACGGGUUCGUAAUGUCUGGGAAACUGCCUGAUGGAGGGGGAUAACUACUGGAAACGGUAGCUAAUACCGCAUACCAUCAGAUGUGCCCAGAUGGGAUUAGCUUGUUGGUGGGGUAACGGCUCACCAAGGCGACGAUCCCUAGCUGGUCUGAGAGGAUGACCAGCCAAACUGGAAAUGAGACACGGCCCAGACUACUACGGUAGGAAGCAGUGGGGAAUAUUGCACAAUGGGCGCAAGCCUGAUGCAGCCAUGACGCGUGUAUGAAGAAGGCCUUCGGGUUUUAAAGUACUUUCAGCGGGGAGGCGUUACCCGCAGAAGAAGCACCGGCUAACUCCGUGCCAGCAGCCGCGGUAAUUC
rnacentral:rRNA from 1 species